UACGUAAGAGACUAGUGUUAAUCAUCAUAAAUAGGUUUAAAGGGUACUCAGACGGAAAAUAUUCGCCUAAAAAAAGGGGACAAUUUUUUCUAGAGUUUUAUGUAAGAAGAUCGUACUCUAGAGUGUAGAGAUCAUAUUUGUUGAUACCUAGGGGACUGGUAAAGGCGAAGGCAAUCUUUUAUGUAAAAACUGACGUCGAAGGACGAAGGCAAAGGGCACGAACAGG
rnacentral:rRNA from 1 species